rnacentral:rRNA from 1 species
AACGAACGCUGGCGGCAGGCUUAACACAUGCACGUCGAGCGCCCCGCAAGGGGAGCGGCAGACGGGGGGGUAACGCGUGGGGACGUACCCUUUGCUACGGAAUAGCUCCGGGGAACUGGAAUGAAUACCGUAUGUGCCCUACGGGGGAAAGAUUUAUCGGCACAGGAUCGGCCCGCGUUGGAUUAGCUAGUUGGAGGGGUAAUGGCCUACCAAGGCGACGAUCGAUAGCCGGUCUGAGAGGAUGAUCAGCAACAUUGGGACUGAGACACGGCCCAAACUCCUACGGUAGGCAGCAGUGGGGAAUAUUGGACAAUGGGCGCAAGCCUGAUCCAGCCAUGCCGCGUGAGUGAUGAAGGCCUUAGGGUUGUAAAGCUCUUUCACCGUAGAAGAGAAUGACGGUAUCCGGAGAAGAAGCCCCGGCUAACUUCGUGCCAGCCGCCGCGGUAAGAC